rfam:Eubacterium sp. CAG:180 genomic scaffold, scf50
GGGGAUGAAAGGAUUUCGACGGGGUCUUUGAACCACGAUAAGCGAGCAGCGGUGUGGUACCGCUUUAAACAGCCAUAGUUUAUUAAAAAUAAACGACAAAGAUUCUAAAGUUUUACUCGCUGCUUAAGUCAGCGGGUCGUUCCCUCCGAAGUACCGCGAUCGGAUAAGGAGCGUCAUCAGCGGUAAAUGUGAACGGGUAACCGCCUUGUAACCCGUCACACACAACAGGGCUACCAAAGCGCAUAGACCGCCGUCGGGCGAUGUGCCGAGGGAAUUUUAAAUAGACGGAUACGCUCGUAGAAAUUUGUGAGGAUGAGAUUUCGGACGCGGUUUCGAUUACCGCCAUCUCCACCA